rnacentral:rRNA from 1 species
CCCUUAGAUGUCCUGGGCCGCACGCGCGUUACACUGAUGCAUUCAACGAGUUUAUAACCUUGGCCGAGAGGCCUGGGCAAUCUUGUUAACGUGCAUCGUGAUAGGGAUAGAUUAUUGAAAUUAUUAAUCUUGAACGAGGAAUUCCUAGUAAACGCAGAUCAUCAAUCUGCAUUGAUUACGUCCCUGCCCUUUGUACACACCGCCCGUCGCUACUACCGAUUGAAUGGUUUAGUGAGGACUCCUGAUUGGCGCCGCCGCCCCGGCAACGGAGCAGCGGACUGCCGAAAAGUUGUUCAAACUUGAUCAUUUAGAGGAAGUAAAAGUCGUAACA